AUGUUCGGUUAAGUCCGGCAACGAGCGCAACCCACAUCCUUAGUUGCCAGCAGUUCGGCUGGGCACUCUAGGGAAACUGCCCGUGAUAAGCGGGAGGAAGGUGUGGAUGACGUCAAGUCCUCAUGGCCCUUACGGGUUGGGCUACACACGUGCUACAAUGGCAACUACAGUGGGUUAAUCCCCAAAAGUUGUCUCAGUUCGGAUUGUCGUCUGCAACUCGACGGCAUGAAGUCGGAAUCGCUAGUAAUCGCGUAACAGCAUGACGCGGUGAAUACGUUCCCGGGCCUUGUACACACCGCCCGU
rnacentral:rRNA from 1 species